rnacentral:lncRNA from 1 species
CCGGCUGUUCGCCCCACAUGUCGCCCGCCCUCUUCUUCCUUCUCCUCAACGCAAGCCCUCGCUCUCUCCCCUGCCUCACAAUGACGACGGUGGCCCAUCUACCUCGAGAUCGACAAUGAUGGUGGUUGGGGUGGCUAGACAGAGAACCCUAGCCGCAAUGGUGACGGUGUGGCACCUUCCCCCAAAGACCUCCAUGGAUCUGCGUCGCCUCCCUCCUCCAAAUCCAAGGACAACCGAGGUGGGCUCUUCCAUCUGUCAAUACUCUCCUCCCCUUCCCUCUCUGGUCCCUUAUUGGUUCUUUUGUUUGAUUCCAGUAGCAGGGGACUUCCAUGGACGAGGACGACAACCGUAACAUGUGGGACCCCAUGACCGAGCCCCGACAAGCUCGUAGACGACAUCAGGCUGACCUCUACCUCGAAGGCGACCUCAAGAUAUAACACGUGUACGAGGGUGACCUCUGCAAAAGUUUGUUUAGCUAAAUACGUAUUACUGAAAACAUCCAGGCACUAUUCAGUACCCAAGUACUGAAUAUUGCUAAACGUUGAUGAAUUUUAGCUGUUUGGUGAGUAGCUAUGCAGAAGAUUAUGUUUCAGAAGUAUUAUUAUUGAAGACGUAGAGUAUCACUACAGCUCCUGCAGAAGAACGAGAUCAUUAACAUGGUUAAAGUUCUGAUGUUCUGGUUGUAGUUUUAUGAUACUAGAAUCCUUCGUUUGCUCCAUUUUGUUGGUGAUAUUGCACUCUACUCUGUUAUGCUCACGGUUCAUCUUCAUGUAAUUUUAAAAUUCAGUGUGCACGUCUUUCUCUGUUUGCUCCUUUUUGUUGGUGACGAUGCAAUCUACUAUGUUAUGUUCACCUUCCUGUAUUGGCUUGGCUAUGAUUUGCUAGUUGAUGCGUCGCCUAACAAUUCUGCAUUCCAGGUAUGCUCAAAAAAAAGGUAUAGUUUCUGAUCCUUAUGUCUAAAAUAUAUAUUUCUACAAUUCUUAAUAAAACCUAUGGAAUUGUAUGGAAUGAAUGUUGUUAUGUGAUUAAAUCCCAUGUGUAAGAGGAUCAGUUAGCCCACUAGAAUAAAAGCUCUGAAU